UCUCUCUCAGCUCUGAGAGAACAGCUCACGGAAUGACUUUGCCAAUAUUAAUCAGAAUCAGCUGUAUGAACUACAGGAUACCAGUGCGAGGAAAAGGCAGAGGGUAUCACAGAUCUGCUUCACCUCAGUUUUUCUUCAAUGUCGAUGUCCCACCAGGUGUGGCUGGCCACUCUCUUUAAAACGACCCGCUGUGUGUUUGAGCGUGCAAGGUGAUCUUAAAGCAGACUACCUGUGAGCUUCAAACACUGCGGCAAGGAUUAUAUGAUUAGCA